rnacentral:rRNA from 1 species
GACGGGUAUCCGGCCUGAGAGGGUGAACGGACACACUGGAACUGAGACACGGUCCAGACUCCUACGGGAGGCAGCAGUAGGGAAUAUUGCUCAAUGGGGGAAACCCUGAAGCAGCAACGCCGCGUGGAGGAUGAAGGUUUUAGGACUGUAAACUCCUUUUGUUAGAGAAGAUUAUGACGGUAUCUAACGAAUAAGCACCGGCUAACUCCGUGCCAGCAGCCGCGGUAAUACGGAGGGUGCAAGCGUUACUCGGAAUCACUGGGCGUAAAGAGUGCGCAGGCGGGAUAGCAAGUCAGAUGUGAAAUGCUAUGGCUUAACCAUAGAACUGCAUUUGAAACUGCUAUUCUA